rnacentral:rRNA from 1 species
GAUGAACGCUGGCGGCGUGCCUAAUACAUGCAAGUAGAACGCUGAAGGAGGAGCUUGCUCUUCUGGAUGAGUUGCGAACGGGUGAGUAACGCGUAGGUAACCUGCCUGGUAGCGGGGGAUAACUAUUGGAAACGAUAGCUAAUACCGCAUGACAACAGUUAUUGCAUGAUAACUGUUUAAAAGGGGCAACUGCUCCACUACCAGAUGGACCUGCGUUGUAUUAGCGAGUGGGUGAGGUAACGGCUCACCAAGGCGACGAUACAUAGCCGACCUGAGAGGGUGAUCGGCCCCACUGGCACUGAGACACGGCCCCGGCUCCUACGGGAGGCGGCAGUAGGGAAUCUUCGGCAAUGGACGGCAGUCUGACCGAGCCACGCCGCGUGAGUGCAGAAGGCUUUCGGCUCGUCAAGCUCUGUUGUACGCGAAGAACGCGUGUGAGCGUGGAAAGUUCACACUGUGCCGGUCUCUUACCAGAAAGGGACGGCUACCUACGUG